rnacentral:rRNA from 1 species
UACGGAGGGUGCAAGCAUUAAUCGGAUUUAUUGGGCGUUAAGGGCGUGUAGGCGGGUUAGUAAGUCGAGUGUGAACUUCCAAAGCUCAACUUUGGGACUGCAUUUGAAACUACUAGUCUGGAGGAUUGGCGGAGAAAAUGGAAUUCCACGUGUAGCGGUGAAAUGCGUAGAUAUGUGGAAGAACACCUGGGGCGAAAGCGAUUUUCGAGCUUAUACCUGACGCUGGGGCGCGAGAGCAAGGGGAGCAAACAGG